AUGGCCUACACCAUAUUGAUAAAUUAUCAUCUAAUUACCUGUAUGUGCCUUGAAUUACCUUUUUUGGCCAUACAAUUUUUGAAGGUUCAAAUAUUUGGAAACCACAUCUCAUUUGCAUUGGAACUGCGGGAUUCUUUGACUGAUCCUGACCAAGUCUGCAUGCCAUCAGUUACAGAAUAUUGGAAACCACUUGCUGAAGAUGCAAGCACUUUAGUUUUUCUUCCAUUUUUAUUUUACACCUCGGAUUCGUUCAUCCUUUUGUUUUAUGUUCAUCAACUGCACAUCUGGAUUUCUCUUGUAGUAAAACACCAUCGAAGCAAACAUGAUCCUCAUUGCAUUGAGGACAAGGAUAGCGGGCUAUGGCUCCUUUUCCCUUUAAUGGCUAUUUUUUAA
rnacentral:rRNA from 1 species